GUGGGGAAUUUUGGACAAUGGGCGCAAGCCUGAUCCAGCAAUGCCGCGUGCAGGAAGAAGGCCUUCGGGUUGUAAACUGCUUUUGUACGGAACGAAACGGUUCUCUCUAAUACAGGGAGCUAAUGACGGUACCGUAAGAAUAAGCACCGGCUAACUACGUGCCAGCAGCCGCGGUAAUACGUAGGGUGCAAGCGUUAAUCGGAAUUACUGGGCGUAAAGCGUGCGCAGGCGGUUUUGUAAGACAGAGGUGAAAUCCCCGGGCUCAACCUGGGAGCUGCCUUUGUGACUGCAAGGCUGGAGUGCGGCAGAGGGGGAUGGAAUUCCGCGUGUAGCAGUGAAAUGCGUAGAUAUGCGGAGGAACACCGAUGGCGAAGGCAAUCCCCUGGGCCUGCACUGACGCUCAUGCACGAAAGCGUGGGGAGCAAACAGGAUUAGAUACCCGGGUAGUCC
rnacentral:rRNA from 1 species